rnacentral:lncRNA from 13 species
AUGUAUUGUCAUGUUGUGUCUUGUUUCUGUCCUUUCCCUUCACCCUGUCUCCCUCUGCUGGUCGUUAUUAGGUUACCUUUUCUCCCCCUCUUUCCCCCAGCUGUUCCUUGUCUCCUCCUAACUACCUCGUCACCCCUUUUCCCACCUGUUCCCUUUUUCCCUCUGAUUAGUCCUCUAUAUCUCUCUCUGUCUAUAUCUCUCUCUGUUUUGUUUCUGUCUUUGUCGGAUUCUUGUUUGUGUUAUUCAUGCCUGAACCAGACUAUCGUCAUGUUUGCUGCAACCUUGUCCUGUCCUGUCGGAAUCUGCCGGUCCAUCUGAGCCUACCUAUGUUUUGUCAUUAAAGAAGCUCUGUUUACGUUAAUUCGCUUUUGGGUCCUCAUUCACGCACCGUAACAGAAGAAUCCGACCAAGAAUGGACCCAGCGACUUCGGAUCCUCUCCACUCAGCCGUCGAGAUCCAGGGAGCGAUGCUAGGCAGACACGAGCAGGAAUUGUCUGCUGCUCGACAUGCCGUUGAGACCCUGGCCACCCAAGUCUCCAACCUCACAGAACAGGUUCACCAUCUCCGCCUCGAUCCACCGGCCAUUUCAUGCAUUUCAUGUUAUCCUUGCUUUUUUUUAAAUGUAUUUUGACUAACAAUUAACGGUUCAUUUGAUGUUUGUUAAUUUGAUAUUACUUUAAUCAACUUAAACCUUUAUGUUAACAAUAAAUGUGGAUUUCUAAUAACUAAAGCUACACUAUUGUUGACAAAUAAGAGAGUUAAGUCCACUGCUUCAUUUCAGUGCAACUUACUAUUCUCAUUUGAAUAAACUUAAACCUGUAUUACAAUAAAUGUUGAAUUAAAUGUUGAAUUAUCAAAGCUUUUUGUCGAAUUAAUUUCACAUUUUGUUAAGUCAACUUUCAAUUAAAUUAUUGUAACAAGUAAAACAGUUAUCAUAACUACAUUUCAAGUUUACAUAACAAAAUGGUCUAUGCAAGGAUUACGUGACGUGUUAAGUGCUCUGAACUUGAAAAAGGCCACGCGACUAGAUGACUGGAAAUAACAAGUUGAAACAACAUUAAAGCUAGAAGUUAUCUGAACUAAAGCCAGUUACUUAAUUUAUAAAAUAGUUAACCAUUUCCCAUUAACGGGGUGGCAGGGUAGCCUAGUGGUUAGAGCGUUGGACUAGUAACUGAAAGGUUGCCAGUUCAAAUCCCGAGCUGACAAGGCACAAAUCUGUUGUUCUGCCCAUAAACAGGCAGUUAACCCAAAGAGUUAACCAUUUAUUUACAAUCCUUGUUCAAUCAACAUGCACUUAAGUCAAACCUAUUUCAUAUUGAGUUAUUGUAACACAGAGUUCUCAACCUGUUUGGUCGGUGAUGCUAUACCGUGGCUACGAGCAAGUCAAGCAGGCCACACAUAAAUAACUAUACUAUUAAUGACAUAACAGACAAGCUUGCCACAGGCUGCAAGUUGAGAACCACUGUUCUAACUCAACAACAUGUAAACGUAAUUUAACCCAUUGUGUACAGUUGAACAAAGUUCAGAUUUAUUAAGACGGUGUGUUUUUUUUGUUUUACUCGCAGUAGUUGAGUUAAUUCCUCGGACAGCGAUGCUGUUAUUUGCCUUCAUUUUACAAAUCUCAGUUUUGGGAAGACUUAAGUUACCCUAUUGUGACUUUCAGUCUACAAACUACAAUCGUCUUUUGUUAGAGACCAUUGAUUUGCUAUCAUCUCUUCCCAUUAACUACAGUGCAUUCUGAAAAUGUUUACAGCAUGUUAAGAAUUUUUUUUUCACACUCAACACCAACUUGUCUUAGAAACCAUUCUGACUGUUGUCUUUGCUCAGUGUUUGAAUUUUUAUUUAGUGUGCCAUAAAACCAUGUUUCAAUGGUGCCAUUUACAAAUGGGGGAAUUGUUUGACAAAUCGUUUAUCUUUAGAAAAAAAAAAUUCUCGGUUAUAUUGGUUAAAAAUACCAAUUAGUGACAGCAGAAUUUGGCUGCCCGUUUAAAUGCACACAAAGACAUGAAUCUAAAAAUAUGCAUUGUUAAAAAUUUAUUUUAAUGACAAUCAAAAUACAUUCUAGGGAACAAUACAUUGUUGCAAAUGUAUUUGUUUGUUAAUACAUAGUGUAAUAAAUGUUCUGAAAUACACAAAAGGACUAUUUUGUUGUCAUUACAAGCUAGAUGGAAUUAAUUGAUUUCAAUGUAAGUUGUUGAAUUGAUCAAUGUACUCUUGUUAGUAAAUCAAUCAUUGUCAAAUAUAAAGUCAUUUUUAAAAUGGAGAAGCUUUAAUGAAGAAGACGGUUCUUCAGACCACGCACUUUUGCGGUACAGUUUUCUGCACCAAUCUUCAAGAAUAUUUUCUGAACAACCUCAAACCUUUUUGGGUAAUCCAUGUUCGUACAACAAGUCCAAUCAAAGUGGCAAAUGCAUUUGGGACAUUGUGAAGCUCAUGUAUGAUCAGCUGCUCUUCUAUCACAAGGGCACAAGUCCACAUCGUCAGCUGGCAUUGGGUCAUCUGCUGCAGCUCCAUCCACAACGACAAGGAAGGGCAACGUCCACAUCGUCAGCUGGCGUUGGGUCAUCUGCUGCAGCUCCAUCCACAACGACAAGGAAGGGCAACGUCCACAUCGUCAGCUGGCGUUGGGUCAUCUGCUGCAGCUCCAUCCACAACGACAAGGAAGGGCAACGUCCACAUCGUCAAGGAUACCGAUUUUCACUCCAUCGGGUGACUUUCUCAGAAUCAGUUGUCUUCUGAAAAACAUAAAAUAAAAUAAAAAUACUAAAAAUACGCAAAGAUUAGAGGCAUUGCCCUACAAAACAUCCUCCAAUACAAUUUUUCUGUGAAUCUGUCUACAGAUGUAUUGUUGCAUAUUGAUGCAGGCAAGUGGGGUGUCAGGUAGCCUCGUGGUCAGGUGCGUUGUGUCAGUAAACAAGCAGGAUCCUUAAGCACGUCAGUCAACCGGGAUUGGUCCCAGGUCUAGGUAGAACGCGUGAUUGUCUGCUAUAGCACCCGCAAAGGCUCAUGGUCAUCCAACACUGACAAUGAGGGGGGAAACCAUGUAAAGCCUCAUCCAUCAUUCAGUGCUGUUUUGGCAAUGAGCUCUUUC